CCGUGAGUAGCUUAGAGGUUAGGGUGUUGGACAUCUGCUCCAAAUGUCAUGCGUUCAAAUCCAAGCAAGCUGG